CUCCGACUCUGUGGGUGAAACAGCUGUAUGACCUUGUUGACCUCUACAGCACUGGACACACACAGAAAAUAACAGGAAUGUUAUUGGAGCAGAAGAAGGAGGCGGUGCUUCAGCUGCUGUCAGAUCACUCGCUCCUCGAGGAACAAGUUAAAAUCGCACUGAAGACCUUGCAGGAGCAGGGUGAUGAGGGACAGAUGUGAGUGACUGCUCUGACAGAGAGGAAGUGGAAUCGAUUGGCGAGACGCUUUUCAAUGCUGUGCAUCAGUUAGACCCCACCCACUGUGCUGACAUCACCGGGAUGCUGCUGGAAAUGGAUUCA